rnacentral:rRNA from 1 species
UCAGUAAGCGGAGGAAAAGAAACUAACCAGGAUUCUCCCAGUAACGGCGAGUGAACGGAGAUUAGCCCAUCACCGAAGUCUAUCUGCUUUUGUGGACAGGGACAAUGUGGUGUUUGGGCACGUACCUGGGAGCGCUUGCCUACUCGAAGUCCAUCUCCGAUUCUGGCUUGGACUUAGCCCAUAGCGGGUAGAAAGGCCCGUGCGGGUAGGCUAUGUUGUAUUAAGCGAUCCUCAGAUGUACGUGCCUUCGAGUCGGAUUGCUUGAGAAUGCAGUCCAAAGUGGGUGGUAAACUCCAUCCAAGGCUAAAUACUGGCACGAGUCCGAUAGUAGACAAGUACCGUGAGGGAAAGUUGAAAAGUACUCUGAAGAGAGAGUAAAUAGCACGUGAAGCCGCUUGCAGGGAAGCUGGUGGAGUCAAGCUUCUUGUCUGGAGGAUUGUUACGAGAGAUGUUUGUGUCAGGACGUGAUGCUGGUUAACCUGGAAACGGUUGGGUGCAGUAAAAUGCGCUUCAAGUCGCUCUGGGAUGGGUGUUUGUGCCGGUAUCUAUCUCCUUCCUCUUGUGGUUUAUCUUCUGUGACAUACAUCACAGUCAAUAGGAUGUGUGCUGUGUGAGUGUUUAACUGUGCCUUUGUGGGAACUUAACGGUCUGCUGGGCAUUGAAUGGCAGAAGGCAUGUAUGAGUUUCGGCUUGUACUAUGCGUAUGGUGGUUUUGACCUGCUAAUGCUCACGUACAGUAUCCAAUCUAUUGUUCUUAUGCGGCGCUUGCUCUUCGGAGCGGG